rnacentral:misc_RNA from 1 species
GAUGAAGAACGCAGCGAAAUGCGAUAAGUAAUGUGAAUUGCAGAAUUCAGUGAAUCAUCGAAUCUUUGAACGCACAUUGCGCCCGCCAGUAUUCUGGCGAGCAUGCCUGUUCGAGCGUCAUUUCAACCAUCAAGCCCCAGGCUUGUGUUGGAGCCCUGCGGCUGCCGCAGCCUCCCAAAACCAGUGGCGGGCUCGCUAUCACACCGAGUGCUGUAGUUUACUCUUCGCUCAGGGCGUGUGGCGGGUGCUAGCCGUGAAACCCCCAACUUCUCAAGGUUGACCUCGGAUCAGGUAGGAAUACCCGCUGAACUUAAGCAUAUCAAUAAGCGGAGGA